UCUCUAUCCCCACGAGAACACGAACCAUCCCGGCCACCCGGCGCUAGGGUUCCCUCCGCCGUCGCGCCCCAUCCCUCCGCUCCCAGCAACCCUGUCCACUCUCUCCCAUCCCCAGUCGUCGUCGUAGCCCCUCGACGCCGUUCGAUAUCCAAGACGGAGCCUCGGCCGACAACUCCUUGGAGCACGCCGCCCGCCGGUGGAUGCCCUGGUUCUGCGCGACCCCGCCAGAGACUCACCUCGCCACCUUGGCGCCUCCCGAAGGAUCUCCGCCACCGCCUAGCGCUUCUGUGCGCAAGGAUGCCGACGCCUCUCCCUGGCCCUCCUGGCGGACAGCCUCCAGCCCACACAAGCUUCCCUGUUUUGGCUCUGUUGGCUACCAUGGUUGAGUAGAGCGAGAUUCAAUGAUGACAACACGCACACCUUUCCCUGAUGCUUGGGCAAAGGCAUGUAUGUCCGAUGUGCAGGCAAAACUUUAUAGAUGCAGAUUACAUACAUUAGAAAUUGCCAACUCGGUGGAUGAUAAAUACUAUGACUUGGGACUCAGAAAAAAGAUCAACACGUAGAUGCAGAUUACAUAGAUCAGGACUUGCUAACUCGGCGUAUGACACAUACUAAACGACAUCAACACGUAGGUAUGAGAGUUCGGAAUAUCCAACAUUUGCUAACUACUUUUUAAUUGCUUCGUCCUCUACCUGCAAUUACAACUUCAGUGUGCUUGAUUUUCAAUUAGCCAAGUGCAUUUGUUGGUUUUAGUUCUUUUCUAUAUACAAUUAAUUAUCAAUAGGUUUGAUGAUACUUCAGAACAACAUAUCAAUGUUAGAGGCUUAUUUUAUGUUAUUUGGACUAGCAGUUUUUGUUCUGCCAAUAGAAAUAAUAAAUGAGGGAUUUCCCCAGUUUUUUUCUCUCAUGUUGUUUUGACCAUGAUGUACCAGAUUUUCAAUGUGGAAAACAAUUAGAAUUGCACUUUUCAGGGGAUGUACUUUAGUUGGUGUGCAUGCCUUGGUUCAUUGUUGCCUAGACAAGCUAGAGAAUUUUUGCUGUGAGAAAAUGUAUGGACAUUUGAUGAUUAGGGUUAAGAAAAUAUUAUGAUAACAUGGUUUGGCUUAAUACACUAGGUUGUUCGCUACCUUGAGGAGCUCGAGAAACUUAUUGAAGUGCUUAUAUUUUAAUUAUAAGUUUUGAUUCUUAUGUUGGAGACAUGACUAUGCAAGGAAGUGGUGAGAGAAUUUUGCAGUAGCUUUAUAGUGAUGUUUAGAUAAUUACCAUUUAGAUUAACAAAGAAAACAACUGGGAGCUGCUUUUAGAAUUUCAUUUAUUAUUUGUUAGACCAUGAUCAUCUGCCGAUAAUUAUUUUCCUCAAUAGUUUUUCCUUUAUUACUGAUAUUUUCAUGGCAUUUCAAUUGAUGCACCCUAAUCUAAUAUCUACAAACUUCAUUUACACAACACAAUUGAUUGUUGCUGAUGUAGGUGAGACCAUUGACUAUUAGAGCAAAUCAACACAUGUUUGAGCUACAACGGAGGUCACUUAAAUAAAUGUAACGUGAUUUACCCCUUUAUUUCUUUAUCUCGAGAGACAAUGUAGAUAUAUGCAUGUGUUUACAUUUGUUGUGGUUGCAUGUAUCCUUGACUUUUGUUAGGCUGGGGACAAGAGUAUCAAUUUGUAUAAUGCUAAUAAUGUUGUCACAUAAUAGUGUAAUGUAUGUGUUAUUGUGAUGUUAUCCAGUCAAACUCUUUAGAAAACAAUGGUCGCUGCCAGAAGUUGGCUGGGGUGAUUGUUGAAUAUAGAUGGGAGCUUCUUUGAGGAAAGCCAAACAAGUGGCUGGGGAUGUAUCUCGCGGGACUCGAUGGUUACAGUUUGGGGAGCAGCAGAGUUGCUUGCUAGCAUCUUUUUUUCUUGCAUCUACGAACUGAUGAUGCUUUACUUGCUGUUGUUUCCCGUGGUAGUACAUUAUGGCUCACUGUUGUUUAUGCUCGGACAGCAGCAGAGGAAUAGACUCGGCAAGGAAGGGAGCUACUCCAGUGUAGUCGGUGGAAUUGACUGGCAAAGUAAAUCAUGAAGCUCCUGGUUGGACCAAGAGGCUGAGAAUUGGGGCUGCACCUCCUACAACAGUCAGUUUCGUCGGUGGCCUACCAACAACACUGGUGAAGGAAUAAGGGUGGCCCGAGACCGAUAAUAGGGGGCUCUUGAACUGGCAAAGCAAGAAGCCACCAUCGCUUCAUUGUCCCCGGAGAUCGUUUGGUGAUGUCCGAUGGAUAUCACGUGACGGAGUGGAGACGCACACUCCCCUGCCCCAACUUUGGUGCCGCCACCUACCAAUGCGGGGCACAGUCCUUCCUGACCCAGCCUACAUCUUGAUUGUAAAUUUCUCUCACCUUCUAUCUCGUGUUCAUGUGGUCGUAUUGAUUUUGACUUUUGAGAAGUGUUGAAAGAAGAUUAUGUGCUUCAGACGACUGAAUGUCCAGUAAUAUCAUCAACCUUCAGCCAGCAGCGGCUCCGAACUCUUAUCACCUCAAAUGGUUUAGCAUAGAUCAGUCACAUGUGAGGACGAAAGCUUGGAUCAGCUUCUGUAGUCGCUAUCUUCCAUUUACAACCGAGUUUUCUUAUGGUUA